CGUUCUGACCAGUGUGAGGAGGUAUCUCAUUGUGGUUUUGAUUUGUAUUUCCCUGAUGAUGAGCGAUGUUGAGCAUAUUUUAUGUGUCUGUUUGCCAUCUGGAUGUCUUCUUUAGAAAAGUGUCUAUUAAUGUCUUCUGCCCAUUUCUUCUGGAUUAUUUGCUUUUGGGGUGUUGAGUUUGACAGAGCGUGAGCAUGAGAGGAACAGAGAGAGGAAGAGACACAGAAUCUGAAGCAGGCUCCAGGCUCUGAGCUGUCAGCACAGAGCCCAAUGUGGGGCUUGAACUCACAAACCACGAGAUCAUGACCUGAGCCGAAGUCAAGACGCUUAACUGGCUGAGCCACCCAGGUGCCCCUAAAUGAUUAUGAUUAUUAGCAGGCUGGAGCUGAGCAGCACUGUGUCCCCCAGAAGUUCCCACCUGUGGCUUGGGAGUCUAUCCAUAUGAGACCCAGACAUGAGGACCCAUCCCAGAAAGCCUGAAUGUCCAGACAUGAGGCAUGUGCAUGCACAUUUGUCAUGCAUCUAGGCCCUACAGGACUGUGUGGAUAAGAGCCACCCCCACCCACCAGUCCAUCUUUCUGUCACCAGCAAUUAACCCACACUGCACUUCUGAUGCAGUGCCUGGAAAGGUUCUUAUAGGCAGCAUUAAGCAGAAUUUAGAAGGUUUUGCAUUUUGUAGUAUAUAUCAAAUAUGGCAAAUCUCAGAAUAAAACUUCCUAAAAUACGCCAUAAUGAGGAUGCAACAUUGCCUGUGUUGUUUGUUGUUGUUGGUUUUUUUUUAAAUGUCCUCACUGAAAUGAUGUUAUCAGUAUGCGAUGAAUUUACGUUUCAUAAUACUAUAUGAUACUUUCACCCAGGAAGGUUUCACACUUGCCAGGUAUGGUGCCUUGAAUGGUAGCCCCCAAGGUAGGUCCAUGCCAAAUCCCUGGAAUAUAUAAAUGUUCCCUUAUUUGGAAAAAGAUUAUUCACAGAUGGAAAAAAUUAAGAAUGCUGAGAUGAUGAGAUCAUUGUGGAUUAUGCAAGUCAGUCCUGAAUCCAAUGGCAGCUGUCCUUCUGGAAGACACACAAAGGAGAGACACACAGAAGAGGAAGUGGCAAUGGAAAUAUUUGAUUGAUAUGGCCACAAGCCAAGGAAGCAAAGGGAUGCCAACAGCUGCCAGAAGCCAGAAGAGGCAAGGAAGGAUUCUACCCUACAUUAGCCUUCAGAAUAAUGAGAAAAUAAACUUACAUUGUUUUAAGCUGCCAAAUUUGUGGUAACUUAUUAUAGCAACCACAGGACCUUAACACAAGUGCUCAAACUUCAGGUACACAUCUUUCAUCCCUUGGAGUUAAGGAAGCCUCUUUCCUUAGCUUCCCACUAUUGCCAAAAUGGGCUAACAAUAGGACUACAUGUAAAACUGAAACUAUGGACUAGAGAUCUUCCUGAGUUAUGAUGGGGUUACAUUGCACUAAACCCUUUACAAGUUGAAAAUAUCCUAAUUAAAAAAUGCAUUGAGGGGCGCCUGGGUGGCUUGGUCGGUUAAGCGUCCGACUUCGGCUCAGGUCGUGAUCUCACGGCCCGUGAGUUCGAGCCCCGCGUUGGGCUCUGUGCUGACAGCUCAGAGCCUGGAGCCUGUUUCAGGUUCUGUGUCUCCCUCUGUCUCUGCCCCUCCCCUGUUCAUGCUCUGUCUCUCUCUGUCUCAAAAAUAAAUAAACGUUGAAAAAAAAUUUUUUUAAAAAUACAUUGAAUACGCCUGGCCUACUGAAUGUCAUAGCUUAGUCUAGCCUAACUUAAACAUGCUCAGAACACUUAGAUUAGUUUACAGUUUGGCAAAUUCAUCUAACACCAAGCCUAUUUUAUAAUAAAG